rnacentral:rRNA from 1 species
CAGCCGCCGCGGUAAUACGAGGGGGGCAAGCGUUGUUCGGAAUUAUUGGGCGUAAAGGGUGCGUAGGCGGUUUGACAAGUCAUCUGUGAAAUCUAUGGGCUCAACCCAUAGUCUGCAGGCGAAACUGUCGGGCUUGAGUAUGGGAGAGGUGAGUGGAAUUUCCGGUGUAGCGGUGAAAUGCGUAGAUAUCGGAAGGAACACCUGUGGCGAAAGCGGCUCACUGGACCAUAACUGACGCUGAGGCACGAAAGCUAGGGGAGCAAACAGGAUUAGAUACCCGUGUAGUCCCUGUCUCUUAUAC